rnacentral:rRNA from 1 species
AUUGAACGCUGGCGGAAUGCUUUACACAUGCAAGUCGAACGGCAGCACGGGUGCUUGCACCUGGUGGCGAGUGGCGAACGGGUGAGUAAUGCACCGGAACGUAUCCAAUAAUGGGGGAUAACGCACCGAAAGGUGUGCUAAUACCGCAUACGCCCUGAGGGGGAAAGCGGGGGAUCGUAAGACCUCGCGUUAAUGGAGCGGCCGAUGCCGGAUUAGCUAGUUGGUGAGGCAAAGGCUCACCAAGGCGACGAUCCGUAGCUGGUCUGAGAGGAUGAUCAGCCACACUGGGACUGAGACACGGCCCAGACUCCUACGGGAGGCAGCAGUGGGGAAUAUUGGACAAUGGGCGAAAGCCUGAUCCAGCCAUGCCGCGUGUGUGAAGAAGGCCUCGGUGUAAGCACUUAAGUCGGGGAGGGAAGGGGACGUUCUGGCGUAAUAUCCAGAGCAUUGACGUUACCGCCAGAAUAAGCACCGGCUAAC